GGGGGCGACCUGGGUUCGACGCGGGUCGCGAAACCCGAGGUGCAUGCCGAGGCGCGGUGACCUCGUAAAUCCAGCCGCAAAGCCAAUAGCUGCCAACGACGACAGCUACGCGCUCGCUGCGUAACGAGCGCCCUCUGACCGGUGGCGUGCCUGUGCGCGCCGGGUUUCAGGGGUCGACCUGACACAGGCUCGCGGCAAGGCUCGUCCGGGGCCGCGCCGCUAAACCCCUACCGGACUCGCCGCCGGUGGACCCUGCCCGUCGGGGACCCGGCGGCUAAAGCGCAAAGACGCGGCUAAGCAUGUAGAGCCGAGGGCGGAGGGCCCGCGGACGCGGGUUCGAUUCCCGCCGCCUCCACCA
rnacentral:tmRNA from 1 species